AGAGAAUAUAGCCCAUUGAUUCUUUACAUCUACAAGUAGCAAAGGCUGUGGCUCCUUAACUGGCUUCUAAACUUGGAACACUGGUGUGGACACAGACUCACACACCACCUCCGAGCCACAGCAGCCACACAAAUGUGUGCCUAUGGCUAUAGUAGGGGCCCCCUUUGUGGUGACAGAGGUAGACAUGCCUAUCUCCUACAGAGCCAGUAACUAUUUUUUAAAUUGUCUCAACAAUUGCUACUAAGGACUACUCUGGCAGCUCUGGCUGUGGAGGACCUGUGGUUGCUUCUGACCUUGUAUUUCUUAAUGCAAAUACUCACUUAAUAAAUAUUUAAUAAUAACCACCAUGACUCACUGGGAGCUCAGACCCUAGGGCUCAGGAGGUCUGUUGCUAAUUCCAACCAGUAUAAUUUAUGGGAAGUAAACGAUCUAUGACGUGCCUAAAGAGAAGAAAAGUACAUACAGGAUGCUUCUACUUAGGAUUUUUUUGGUAGGGAAGAAAUACACAAGUUAAAAAGGGACAACAUUUUCUUUUGUCUUAAAGUCUAUGCAACUUAAAGGAGGGUGGAGGAGGGGGGAAGGUCCUCCAAUCCCCCAAAAGUCAAACCAAACCAAAUUACUCAAGUUUAGCUAUGCAGUACGAGCUGUAACCACAUCAAGUGAGCCCGUCUGCUGCAAAACAUCACUUAAGCUGGAGCUCUGACUUAUUGUUCUCUGACUGCCCUGGAGCAAUUUUGUUUUGAAGAGCACAGAACACCCUGUUCUGAAUGUGGCUGGCACAUGAACUCAAUGUGCUGACAGCAAUUUGUACUCUGAUUAAACCGUGUGUGUGUGUGUGUGUGUGUGUGUGUGUGUGUGUGUGUACUGUAGUAACAAAAACUGGAAUGCAAAAACUGUAUAAUUUGUAUUUUAGGAAGCAAAAGUGAGAAAGGCUCCACAACCCAAAAAUAAAAUGCUGUAAACGCUCCAGCCUAAAGACGCAGCUCUGUUGCAGAAAAAGUCAUCAGAAGAAAGAAACACUAGCUGGCAGAGAAGGUUGGACCCACUCGAGUCACAACCUUUAGUGAGAAGAAGUGCUCAUGUUCAUGAACUGCAUGCAGUAUGGGAGCCUGAGCCCCACACAGAGGGAAUCGGCAUUUCCAGGACCGUGAACCAGUAAUUGGGCAGAUGGGAUGAACAGCUACAAGGAAGUCAGAUACUAUGGUAUCACUUCAAGUUUCCACAGCAAGAUGAUCUUGUACCAAAAUCUGGAGUUGCCCUAAAGCAACUAGUCUCAAUUCAUUUAAAAAGAUGUAAGGUCCACAAUAUCAUUUUAUCUUCUUUGGCUAGUUACUGACUUGAGA